UACGUAGGGUGCGAGCGUUAAUCGGAAUUACUGGGCGUAAAGUGUGCGCAGGCGGCCGAGCAAGUCGAGUGUGAAAGCCCCGAGCUUAACUUGGGAACUGCGCUCGAAACUACUUGGCUAGAGUGUGGCAGAGGGAGGUGGAAUUCCACGUGUAGCGGUGAAAUGCGUAGAGAUGUGGAGGAACACCUGUGGCGAAGGCGCCUUGCUGGCCGAUUUCUGACGCUGAGGCGCGAAAGCGUGGGGAGCAAACAGG
rnacentral:rRNA from 1 species